rnacentral:rRNA from 1 species
GCACCUGAAACCAAGCAAGAUGAC